rnacentral:piRNA from 1 species
UGCCAAAGAGUCUAGAGCUCAGACAGCGCU